GGUUCGCAACACUAGUUUAGGCGCCAUUUCAUCAGCAGAGCAGCGUCUUCUGCUGCUUCAGCUCCGCCGGAGUGCACAUCGGAAUCGGAGCUUUGUUAAAGCAAACUGACUAUUUUCUGGCCGGAGACGGCGCAGAAGAUGCCAGGCCCCGCCUUAGAGAUGGAGCCAGUAGAACCACAGUCGUUGAAGAAGCUUAGCUUCAAAUCUCUCAAAAGAGCCCUAGACCUUUUCUCUCCGGUCCACGGGCAGGUCGCUCCUCUCGAUCCCGAAAGCAAAAAGAUUCGUAUCAGUCACAAGAUAAGUGUUGAGUACGGAGGAAUGAAGAACACCAGUACUAAGCCUACUGGCCAAGCAAGUUCCGCUCCUGACAGUGCUCUUGGGACUUCAGCGCCUUCCAAUGCCCUCGCACUUCCUGGUCCGGGUGAUUCUAGAGAGGCGAAGUCUGGGGCACAAAAUGCACUGGUUAUUGGUCCAACUGUGCAACCAAAUGCACAAACCGAUGGUGGCCUUCAGGGAAGAAGCUCAGCAAUUGUUUCGGCAUCUGGUUCAUCUGAAAGGAUGUCAACAUCUGCAAUUAUGGAAAGAAUUCCAAGCAAGUGGCCACGUCCGGUUUGGCAUGCUCCAUGGAGAAAUUAUAGGGUCAUAAGUGGUCACUUGGGGUGGGUAAGGUCGGUUGCAUUUGAUCCCAGUAACACAUGGUUUUGUACGGGUUCAGCAGAUCGUACAAUCAAGAUUUGGGAUGUUGCAAGUGGAAAGUUAAAACUCACAUUGACAGGCCACAUUGAGCAAGUACGAGGUCUUGCUGUCAGCAACAGGCAUACCUACAUGUUUUCAGCUGGUGAUGACAAACAAGUUAAAUGUUGGGACCUGGAACAGAAUAAGGUAAUUCGUCAUUACCAUGGUCAUCUGAGUGGUGUUUACUGUUUGGCUCUUCAUCCAACAAUUGAUGUUUUGCUUACUGGGGGACGUGAUUCUGUCUGUCGGGUAUGGGACAUUCGAAGUAAGAUGCAAAUUCAUGCACUCUCUGGGCAUGAUAACACAGUUUGCUCAGUUUUUACUCGUCCUACGGACCCACAAGUAGUGACUGGCUCCCAUGACACAACUAUCAAGUUUUGGGACCUCAGAUAUGGAAAGACAAUGACAACUCUGACAUACCAUAAGAAAUCUGUUCGGGCAAUGGCAUUGCAUCCUAAAGAGCACAGUUUUGCAUCUGCCUCAGCUGAUAACAUCAAGAAAUUUAACCUCCCUAGAGGGGAGUUUAUGCACAAUAUGCUUUCUCAGCAGAAGACUAUAAUCAAUGCAAUGGCUGUCAAUGAGGAGGGUGUUAUGGUGACUGGAGGUGACAAUGGUAGCUUAUGGUUCUGGGAUUGGAAGAGUGGUCAUAACUUUCAGCAAUCGCAAACAAUUGUACAGCCUGGCUCGUUGGACAGUGAAGCUGGUAUAUAUGCGCUUUCUUAUGACAUAACUGGUUCGAGGCUUGUAACUUGUGAAGCUGACAAAACAAUUAAAAUGUGGAAAGAGGAUGAAAAUGCUACCCCUGAAACUCAUCCUCUCAACUUCAAGCCACCCAAAGAUAUCCGAAGAUUCUAGACCUUGGUUCCCGCCACGCUUAUGCUUUGACGGGACGACCUGGUUUCAUGGACAUUCAUAGGAUAUUAAAUCCUAGGUGACUCUGCAAGUGGAGAAGAAGCAAUUAGACGUUUCUAAACAAACAAUUAAAGAUAGUAGGGUUUGUUAAAGCCUACAGGUAUUAGGUAGGCUUCUCUAGUAGUUCAAUUGCCCUCUACGGGGAACUGGGGAGAGAAAAAGGUUGUAGGAAGAUAUUUUCAAACCAAGCGAGAAGUUAAAAGAUGAGGGGGGGAAAUGAAACGCUUGAAUGAAGAAUAGAAAGGGCGGACAGGUUGGUUUGAGUCUUGAGGACUCGUUGGUCAAAGGAAUGGGGAGGUCUUGAUGGUCGGGACAAAGCAGUAUCAACUACAUGUUGGGGUUCCAUGUGGCAAACAUGACGGCUUUUAGACUUGGUUGUGGUGGGUAUCAUUGCUUUGAGUAAAGAUUUAUGCCAUGUUUCAUCGGUGAGGGUAAGUGGGUUUCUUUUCCCUAUCAUUUAUCUCAUAAUUUCCCCGAUUUCUUUUGGUGCCAGUAUAGUCGUAGACUAGCUACUUCAAUGCUAAAGAUUUUGGAAAAAAAGAAAACAAAUCUUAUAGAGAAGAAUUAUAUUGUAAUUAACUUUUUUUUUUCUUUUGCCAACCAGUCUUAUUUUAUAAUUAUCGAAUAAGAUUUGUGUAUUUGAAGAAUUA